rnacentral:rRNA from 1 species
ACGGGACCCGCACAAGCGGUGGAUGAUGUGGUUUAAUUCGAUGCAACGCGAAAAACCUUACCUACCCUUGACAUGUCAAGAAUUCUGCAGAGAUGUGGAAGUGCUCGAAAGAGAACUUGAACACAGGUGCUGCAUGGCCGUCGUCAGCUCGUGUCGUGAGAUGUUGGGUUAAGUCCCGCAACGAGCGCAACCCUUGUCAUUAGUUGCUACGCAAGAGCACUCUAAUGAGACUGCCGGUGACAAACCGGAGGAAGGUGGGGAUGACGUCAGGUCCUCAUGGCCCUUAUGCCCAGGGCUACACACGUGCUACAAUGGGCGGUACAAAGGGUAGCGAUGCCGCGAGGUGAAGCCAAUCCCAAAAAGCCGUCCACAGUUCGGAUUGGAGUCUGCAACUCGACUCCAUGAAGCCGGAAUCGCUAGUAAUCGUGGAUCAGCAUGCCACGGUGAAUACGUUCCCGGGCCUU